rnacentral:rRNA from 1 species
GAUGAACGCUGGCGGCGUGCUUAACACAUGCAAGUCGAACGGAAAGGCUCCUGCUUGCAGGGGUACUCGAGUGGCGAACGGGUGAGUAACACGUGGGUGAUCUGCCCUUCACUUCGGGAUAAGCCUUGGAAACUGGGUCUAAUACCGGAUAGGACCACAUUUUGGAUGGUGUGGUGGAGAGUUUUUCGGUGUGGGAUGAGCUCGCGGCCUAUCGGCUUGUUGGUGGGGUAAUGGCCUACCAAGGCGUCGACGGGUAGCCGGCCUGUGGGGGUGUACGGCCGUCUUGGGGCUGAGGGAAGGCCCAAGCUGCGAAGGGGGGCAGAAGGGGGGAAGCUUGCCCAAGCGGCGCAGCGCUGUUGAAGAAGGGCCGCGUGGGGGAAAACGCCUUUAGGGUUGUAAACCACUUUCGCAAGGAACGAAUCGUUUUUGGACGGUACCCUGGAGAAAAAGCACGGCUAAACUCGUU